GACGAACGCUGGCGGCGUGCUUAACACAUGCAAGUCGAACGGCAACGCCCUGCUUUUGUGGGGUGAUCGAGUGGCGAAGGGGUGAGUAACACGUGAGUAACCUGACCUUGACUUUGGUAUAACUUCAGGAAACUGGGGCUACUACAGGAUCGGAGCUCCUGCUGCAUGGUGGGGGUUGGAAAGUUUCGGCGGUUGGGGAUGGACUCGCGGCUUAUCAGCUUGCUGGUGGGGUAGUGGCUUACCAAGGCUUUGACGGGUAGCCGGCCUGAGAGGGUGACCGGCCACCUGGGGACUGAGAUAGGGCGCAGACGCCUACGGGAGGCAGCAGUGGGGAAUAUUGCACAAUGGGCGGAAGCCGGAUGCAGCAACGCCGCGUGCGGGAUGACGGCCUUCGGGUAGUGAACCGCUUCCGCCUGUUACGAAGCGUGAGUGACGGUAAUGGGUAAAGAAGCACCGGCUAACUACGUG
rnacentral:rRNA from 1 species